rnacentral:rRNA from 1 species
UACGAGGGGGGCGAGCGUUGUUCGGAAUUAUUGGGCGUAAAGGGUGCGUAGGCGGUUUGGUAAGUCUGAUGUGAAAUCUCCGGGCUCAACUCGGAGUCUGCAUCAGAAACUGCCGUGCUGGAGUGUGGGAGAGGUGAGUGGAAUUCCCGGUGUAGCGGUGAAAUGCGUAGAGAUCGGGAGGAACACCUGCGGCGAAAGCGGCUCACUGGACCAUAACUGACGCUGAGGCGCGAAAGCUAGGGGAGCAAACAGG